UCCCCUCUCCUCUCAUCUUCUUGCGCCACACAUAAGCAUUAGGGACGCCGCUGCAGGGACCAUGGGGGUGGGCGAAGGUCCGCCGUCGUGGGCCUGCUCGUCCACCGGCAUUGGGACACCGGUGACCAUUUGUGGGUGCUUGGCCGGGCGUGUGGUGAGUGGUAGAAGAAUUGUGGUGCGCGCGGGUUCGCAGUACCCUUGGAGUUCGUCGCCGGUGAUCGGGCGUAUUCCGCCAUCCACACCUUACCGCGGCCGGCUAUGUCCCUGUCGUUUCUGUCCGAAAGGUACCACGUCAUGUAUUCCUCUGCGUGUAGGUCGUUUGGCACUCGAGUAGUUUGCACGGAGUUCGAAUUUGGGGAAUUCCGGUGAUAGCUCCGCUGUGGGCAGGGACGUUAGGCCGUACGACCGCGAUGAAAUCCCAUUGUUGUUGUUCCCGUUGAUAUCUGCUUCAUGUAGCACAUGUUAGAAGGAGUGGUUGAGCGCCAGAACACCAGUUCCGUGAUCGCCGGUGGGGGCUCCGCCGGGUAGAGCGCGGCGCCGCCGCCUGGCGUCAUUGGGAGGAAGAAACGCGUGCGUCGCAGAUCCGCGAAGGAAAGGUGGAGAUUAGAUUGUCACCUACCCCUUUCAUGCAACCAACCACGACGUCGAUCGAAGAUUGUGCGGACAGGAUUAGAUCUCAGUGUUUUAUAUCGGGUGCGUCGAUGUGGGAUCCAACGGUAGCGAUUGAGUACCGGUUCAGAUGGGUUAGAUCUAAUUUGAUCCGUUGGAUCUAGAUCUGAGGGUAUGCGUAGCGUACCGAUUCAGUGUGGUGGCCGAUCUAAUCUGGGUCGUCCAGUGAGGAUCCGAUGGCCAGAUUUCUUGCGUACCCCUUCGCGGGUACAUCUUACUAAAGAGCCCCUGAUGAAUUAGACAAUAAACUCGCAGUACCCCCACUGUGUUCUGAGUCUGCAGGGUUUUGCAGAUUAAACCCCCGACUCUCUGGAUUUUGAUGCGUGGCCUGAGAAUAAGGAAACCAGAUAAAUAAUAUCAUAAAUUGAUUUUCAACACAAAAUAAUUAUAGAAACUUGUAAAAUUCAUAUAAAAUUCAUUUUAGCUUCUUUUCAGUUCAUUCCAGUUCCUAUAAUUUUUUAAUAUUAUUGUUUAUCAGUUAGUACCACUGUUUUGACAUGAAAGUCACAUUAAAAUUUAUAUCCCAUUUAAUCUUGUACAAAACACAUGGAAUCUUUAGAAAUUCAUAAAUUAAAAUCUAUAACUCCGAUUUUAGUGGUUCUCGAACCCGCGAUCUCGUAUCUUCGCGUAUAUCAUUUUUAUUUAGUUUGUACUUAUGUUUGGUGUGAUGUUAAUUUUAUCUAUAACAUGUUUGUUUGUAUUGCUACGACUAGCAAUGAGGUCACGAGGAUCUGAAGAAUCAUCUUGGUACCUAGAAUCUCAAGUGCCAGGUAAGUUGUGUCCUUGAUCACUUCUUUUUACCCAGUCAUGUUCUGAUUAAUCAUAAUGAUCUGCAUAUGUUAAUUUUGAUGGGACCCAAUAGGUUACCAUAUUUUGACUAUCUUUAUACCUUGUUUACCACUGAAUUCUUGGGUAGUACCUGCUAUUGCUUUAUGUGGUUUUGGGUAUAGAGAUACAUAUUAUUCAUGAUUAUAAUUUGUUAUCUGUUGUUAUUUACUGUUCAUGUUAAGAUCAUUAUGUUAAUUGGAACAUGGAGAACCACCCAGGAAAACAAUGCUACCACAAGGGUGGUAUGAGACGCCCUUGGCUGACUAAUUAGGAAAGCUAAUGGAGGACUACCUUACCCGAAAGGGGCAAGGGCAGUAGGGGAGUGGUCAGUGUAGGGAGGUCCUUGGGUUGAUUUUGCUGCGAUAGAGGUCAGGCGAGGGAUCCCUGCAUUGGAGCUUCCUAGAAACUGUAGCGAGUUUUCUGAAGCUAGUGGAACUUUGUAAAGGCCUCGUAGUGUUACUCUACCUUGCCUCCUCGGUAGAGGUGUAUGGGAGUGGCCUUCUCUUGGCAGAUGGGUAACAUGACUUGUGGGUAAAGUUGUGCAACCUCUACAGAGUGUAACACGGGUAUAUCAGCUGUGCUCACGGUCAUGAGCAGCUCGGACACUCACAUGAUUAAUUUAUGGAACUAAAUUCAAUUUGUCAUAUGCAUUGCAUCGCAGGUGAUGUUGUUACUUUUAUUCUACUACUUAAUUGGGUUGGUAUUUACUUAUACUUAGUAACUGCUAAUAAAAUUUUGACCAACUUUAAAAGCAAUGCUCAGCUCUAACCACCCUCUUUGGUAAGCCUUACACUUCACAUGAGCUCCCACCUUUGGCGAGUUCAUGCACAUUAUUCCCCACAACUUGUUGAGUUAUGAACGUAUGCGAGCUCACUCUUGCUGUCUCACACCCCCACAGGUCAAGAUAAGAUGGAUCUUUGGGUUGCUGGACCGUUGUCUCCUUAUAAUGUAAAUUAUUUAUUUAUUUUGUACAGAACUCCUAUUAUAUAGUAAAGAUGUGACAUUUGAUCCUAUGCCAUGAUUCAUCAUAUGUGUGAGACUUGGUCCCAGCACACCUGGUGAUUAUGUUCGCGCCUGGGUCUUGGUGCCCGUUAAAUCCGGGUGUGACAGAAGUGGUAUCAGAGGAAUGUUGACUGUAGGACAAACCUAGAUAGAAAUGGACAUAACCAUUACCUACUUAUCUUACUCCGAUUCUUUCUAAUACUUUUCUUGAUCCUGUCUCACCUUCUACUGUUCUACUCUGAUUAACCUUACAUUUGCUACUCUGAUUCUUUCCUAAACUUAUCUUAAUCUUUUCUCAUCUAUUUCCACUUUACUCUGAUUAUUCUUACAUGUUCCUUCUAAAGACAAAAGUGGAUUUCACACUUUGAAAUCCUGUGCCUAAAAAGACCUUUAGGAAUAAUAGACCUACUCUUAGGAACAAAAACAAAACUAUUUUUAUAGGUAUCUAUACGCUUGAGUGUUUGUUCUUGUGAUAUUUGUUCGAUUUGGAUCUUUGAUUGAGUGUGAUGAGUUGUGGAGUGAUGUCCACAAUUACAUCUGCAUAUACGUAUAGGUAUAAAUAUAAAUAAAUAAAAUUCAUGAGAUAACUAAACAACUUAGAUUAUCCUCCAUUAAAGAGGGAUCUAUUUAAAAUAGAUACACAUUAAUGGACCCCUCUUAACUUAAUGGAUUCCAGCUUAUCCUAAUAGAUUCAUCCUAUGUUACAAAAAAAGUUAUCCUCAUAAAUUGUUUAUAAGAUAAACUAGAUCAACUAAGAAUAUUCCCCACUAGAAUAAGUCAGAUAGAUCCAUCUUAUCUUAAAAGAUUCUAUCUUAUCUUAAAAGACUCUCUUAUCUUAAAAAGAUCCAUCUUAACUUAAAAGAUUCUUUCUUACCUUAAUAGAUUCAUCUUAUCUUGAAAAGAUUUUAGCUUAUCCUAAUAGAUCUAACUAAUCUCAAAAGAUUCUAUCUAAUUAUUAGAGAUUCAUCUUGUCCUAAUAAGCAUACUUAUCCCCACCACUUUGCUUAUCUCAAAAUAGUGUAACACAUAUGAUCUAUUCCAAAAUAAAUUAAGUAGAUCUUAUCUAGUCUAAUCUGAUUACACUAAUUUAAUUCUGACCCCAUCUAAUCAGAUCAGAUCUAAUCUAAUGGACAGACAUUACACUAGUACCCUACUUCUAUAAGCAUGUUUUAACCUAAAUUGGUGCUCUAGAUUAACUAGACCACAUACAACUACCUAACUAUAUGCGACUACCUUAACCAUCAGAUACUUGCACAACCCCUCUGUUUUAACCUGACAAAGAUUCUGACUUACCUACACUAUAUAAUUCAUCAUAUCUCAAAGGAUUCUAACACAUAUUAAUAAUACAUAAUCUAGCCUGGUAGAUCUAUCUAACUUAAAUUAGUCUAAUCUAGUUAGACCCAAUCUAAUCUAGACCCUACCUAAUAUAAUAUGAUCCAAUCUAAAGGGUGUUACUCAAACAAGUUAGUUAAUACUGGUAACAUAGAUUAUACCAUAUUCAUAUGAAUGAAUUUUAAACCUAAAUAGGUAUAUUUGACCCACUCAUCAGUGAAACCACGACCUAGCCUAUGUGAUAGGUUGCCUAACUCAUUCAUUCCAAAAGCAAAGCAAAACUCUAUUCAAUCUACCUACCCUGUGUACCCGCAAUUAUUAUCCUAACUUGGAUAAUGGCAUCUAACACCACGACCGAUGGUCCCUAAUUCAGACCCCCAAAGGAAGCCCGAUUAUGCCAUAGUACACUCAUUCUAUGUCAACACUCACCAAAUAGCUAAAACCUAAUGUACCCUUGUUUCUAUACCACACCUGCUAAUGGCAUAAAAAGAAUUUUAGGUGUAUAAAAAAAUACUAGAAUUUCAUAAAGAUAAAGUCAGCUUGUUAUGCUUAACUAAGUGAUAUUGCUAAAAGGGAUUAUAGAAUCUAAUGUGAUCUAAGCUAAUAUGAUCUAAUCUACUGUGAUCUACUUAAACAGAUUAGUGGUACUUGGACCAUACUAGCCAGGUGUUAACUUGACUUAAUACAUAAGAUCAACUCAACCAUGAGCUAACCCAACCAAUAGUGUCAUGAUGAAUUGAUUAAUUAUAUGUCCCCACCUAACAUCAAACAAGUUUUUGACCUACACCAUAUAGUUUAUCUCAUCUUGACAAAUUCUAUUUUAACCUUGGAUAUUCACCUUAUACAACUAGUUAGCCCAAGCUUGAUAUAAAACAACAGAUUAAGCCAUGUCAAAGAAUCUUCAGUUCAUAACGAGCUACUAGCCUAUUUGUUCUGCCUUGCAAAACUAUUUUUUACCAUAUGUCUCUAACUUCGAUGGUCAAUACUAGGAAGGGAGAUUAUCAAGUAACAACAAACAGAAAUGAAUCCUCCAAAUCCUCCACCGGUUGGAAUCGAUCAAGUGGUUGCCACCCAAAUGAUGGUAAUACAACAAAUGGCAAACAUGGUUACCGAGCUGCAAAAUCAGAUAAGACAAGAACGCGAGGAAAUACGUCAGGACUGGCUGGAGAUACGUCGAGAAAUAAGGCAAGCACGGUUGGAAAGACAACAACAACAAUGCCCACUACCUCCACCACCACCACCAGCUCCACCAAGCUACAUAAACAUAUAUAUAUAUAUAUAUAUAUAUAUAUAUAUAUAUAUAUAUAUAUAUAUAUAUAUAUAUAUAUAUAUAUAUAUAUAUAUAUAUAUAUAUAUAUAUAUACUACUAUUUGUAAGAUCUAAAUGUUACCUUAGUUAGUAGUUGGUAUGAUACUAUUUUAGGAGGAAUAAUAAGGUCUAAUUGACCCUAUGUGUUGUUAAUAAAUUAUGCAUCAUGCUAAAAUUUUUGUUUGUGCAUAUGUUCUGAGAAAAUAUGGUUAUACACCCCUUUCUUACAAAUCUCGAGGAUGAGAUUUCUGUUAAGGGGGGUAGGAUUUGUAAGACCUAAAUGUGGUAAAAGAAUAUAUAUAUCAUAAAAUAACAAAAUAAAGAAAUAAAAAUGAUAGUGUUCCUAAGAAUUGUUAAAAUCUUUGACAUUCCUUGUUCGUAAUCAAAUUAAGAAAUUAAAAUAAUCAUAUAAAAAAUGGGCAUCUCAUACUUAUAGAUUUGGGGUGGCACAUUCUAUUGAAAUAAGGAGUCGUAAUUUAAAAUUGUCCUCAAAACUUUGAAUGAAAACAUAAAAUAGAAAUUGAGGAAAGAAAUUUUAAUGAAGUCAUUUAAGACCUUUUCAUAAAUAAAUAAUGGAGAAAUGAAUAAAUAAUAAUAUUAUAAAUAGUAGAACAUUAAGUUUAUAUUUGAGAAUGGGAAUUGGAAAUUCAAAACAGAAAGUUUCAGCAGGCAAAUUUGAAGAUUAAAUGGGAGUUACUCUUUAUUAUUUGUUUUGGAGCACUUAAUUAAAGGAAUGAAAUAAUUAAAUAUGAAUAAACUUAAAAUUUCGCAGGCUAGAGAUUUCAUUGUGCAUUAAAAUAGAAUUUUGAAAACAUAACUCGGACUUAAUAUUGAAAUUUGUAACUCAAAAUGGGAAUUUGAAAAAAUAAAAUUGAAAUAAGAAAAAGAGUAAAACCCUGAUGGGCAUGCUACCUUGUUUUAGGCCCAUUCCCAACCUCCACCGUGCGGCCCAGCUCAUUUCUCUUUGGUGUCACCUACGCUUGGGGCCGCGUGGUCAGUCGCUCACUGGAGUAUGCAUGUUGUUGUGCAAUCACUGCCGUGUGGACCAUCCAUGUCAGCUCGAUCCCUUUCUUGAAACAGAACGCGAGAAUUUCUCUGCGCGCACCGUGGGAAUCGCAGGUCUUCCGCCGGCCGCUGCAAUCACGUGCCCUCUCUCCUAUUUAACCAGCCGGGCCCUCGCGAUCUCCUCUCUCCUCUCUCCCCUCUCAUCUCAUCUUCUUGCGCCACUGCAGGCACAUAAGCAUAAGGGACGCCGCUGCAGGGACCAUGGGGGUGGGCGAAGGUCCGCCAUCGUGGGCCUGCUCGUCCACCGACAUUGGGACACCGGUGAUCAUUCGUGGGUGCUUGGCCGGGCGUGUGGUGCAUGCCAGAAGAAUUGUGGUGUGCGCGGGUUCGUAGUACCCUUGGAGUUCGUCGCCGGUAAUCGGGCGUAUUCCACCAUCCACACCUUCCCGCGGCUGGCUAUAUCCCCGCCGUUUCUGUCUGAAAGGUACCCCGUCAUGUGUCCGCAUUCUCCUCCUCUACAUGUAGCUCGUUUGGCACUCGAGUAGUUUGCACGGAGUUCGAAUUUGGGGAAUUCCGGUGAUAGCUCCGCCGUUGGCAGGGACGUUAGGCUGUACGACCAUGAUGAAAUCCCAUUGUUGUUGUUCCCGUUUAUAUCUACCUCAUGUAGCACGUGUUAGAAGGAGUGGUUGAGCGCCAGAACACCAGUUCAGUGAUCGCCGGUGGGGGGGGGGGGCUCCACCGGAUAGAGCGCGGCGCCGCCGCCUGGCGUCGUUGGGAGGAAGAAAUGCGUGCGUCGCAGAUCCACGAAGGAACGGUGGAGAUUAGAUCGUCACCUACCCCUUUCACGCAACCAACCACGACCGUUGAUUGGAGAUUGUGCGGACAGGAUCAGAUCUCGGUGUUUUAUAUCGGGUGCGUUGAUGCAGGAUCCAAUGGUAGCGAUUGAGUACCGGUUCAGAUGGAUUAGAUCUAAUUUGAUCCGUUGGAUCUAGAUCAGAGGGUAUGCGUAGCGUACCGAUUCAGUGUGGUGGCCGAUCUAAUCUGGGUCGUCCAGUGAGGAUCCGAUGACCAGAUUUCUUGCGUACCCCUUCGCAGGUACAUCUUACUAAAGAGCCCCUGAUGAAUUAGGCAAUAAAUCCGCAGUACCCCUCACUGUGUUCUGAGUCUGUGGGGUUUUGCAGAUUAAACCCCCGACUCUCUGGAUUUUGAUGCGUGGCCCGAGAAUAAGGAAACCAGAUAAAUAAUAUCAGAAAUUGAUUUUCAACACAAAAAUAAUUAAAGAAACUUGUAAAAUUUAUAUAAAAUUCAUUUUAGCUCCUUCCAGUUCCUAUAAUUUUUUAAUAUUAUUGUUUAUCAGUUAGUACCACUGUUUUGACAUGAAAGUCACAUUAAAAUUUAUAUCCCAUUUAAUCUUGUACAAAACACAUGGAAUCUUUAGAAAUUCAUAAAUUAAAAUCUAUAACUCCGAUUUUAGUUGUUCUCGAACCCGCGAUCUCGUAUCUUCGCGUAUAUCAUUUUUAUUUAGUUUGUACUUAUGUUUGGUGUGAUGUUAAUUUUAUCUAUACCAUGUUUGUUUGUAUUGCUACGACUAGCAGUGAGGUCACGAGGAUCUGAAGAAUCAUCCUGAUACCUAGAAUCUCAAGUGCCAGGCAAGUUGUGCCCUUGAUCACUUCUUUUUACCCAGUCAUGUUCUGAUUAAUCAUAAUGAUCUGCAUAGGUUAAUUUUGAUGGGACCCAACAGGUUACCCUAGUUUGACUAUCUUUAUACCUUGUUUACCACUGAAUUCUUGGGUAGUACCUGCUAUUGCUUUAUGUGGUUUUGGGUAUAGAGCUACAUAUUAUUCAUGAUUAUAUUUUGUUAUCAGUUGUUAUUUACUGUUAAUGUUAAGAUUAUUAUGUUAAUUGGAACAUAAAGAACCACACGGGAAAACAGUGCUACCACAAGGGUGGUAUGGGACACCCUUGGCUGACUAAUUAGGAAAGCUAGUGGAGGACUACCUUACCCGAAAGGGGCAAGGGCAGUAGGGGAGUGGUCAGUGUAGGGAGGUCCUUGGGUUGAUUUUGCUGCGAUGGUGGUCAGGCGAGGGAUCCCUGCAUUGGAGCUUCCUAGAAACUAUAGCGGGUUUUCUGAAGCUAGUGGAACUUUGUAAAGGCCUCGUAGUGUUACUCUGCCUUGCCUCCUCGGUAGAGGUGUAUGGGAGUGGUCUUCUCUUCGCAGAUGGGUAACAUGACUUGUGGGUAACGAUGCACAACCUCUGCAGAGUGUAAAACCGGUAUACUAGUCGUGCUUACGGUCAUGAGCAGCUCAAACACUCACAUGAUUAAUUUAUGGAACUAAAUGCAAUUUUUCAUAUGCAUUGCAUCACAGGUGAUGUUGUUACUUUUAUUCUACUACUUAAUUGGGUUGGUAUUUACUUAUACUUAGUAACUGCAAAUAAAAUUUUGACCAAAUUUAAAAGCAAUGCUCAACUCUAACCACCCUCUUUGGUAAGCCUUACACUUAACAUGAGCUUCCACCUUUGGCGAGUUCAUGCACAUUAUUCCCCACAACUUGUUGAGCUAUGAACGUAUGUGAGCUCACUCUUGCUGUCUCACACCCCCCACAGCGCAUGGAGGAUGCUGUGACGAGUUCGUGAGAGGUCUAGGCCGUCGUCUCCCAGUCAACUUUGGGUUGCUGGACCGUUGUCUCCUUAUAAUGUAAUUUAUUUAUUUAUUUUGUACAGAACUCAUAUUAUAUAGUAAAGAUGUGACAUUCGAUCCUGUGUCAUGAUUCAUCAUAUGUGUGAGACUCGGUCCCAGCACACCUGGUGAUUAUGUUCGCGCCCGGGUCUUGGUGCCCCUUAAAUCCGGGUGUGACACACGACUUGUGGGUAAAGAUGCGCAACCUCUGUAGAGUGUAAAACUGGUAUAUCAGUUGUGCUCACGGUCAUGAGCAGCUCGGACCCUCACAUGAUUAAUUUAUGGAACUAAAUUCAAUUUGUCAUAUGCAUUGCAUUGAGGGUGUUGUUAUCAAUUUUGUUCUACUACUUAAAUGGGUUUGUAUUUACUUAUACUUAGUAAUUGCUAAUAAAAUUUUGACCAACUUUAAAAGCAUUCCUCAGCUUCAACCGUCCUCUUUGGUAAGUCUUAAACUUCACAUGAGCUUCCACCUUUGGCGAGUUCAUGCACAUUAUUCCCCGCAACUUGUUGAGCGAUGAACGUAUGUGAGCUCACUCUUACUAUCUCACACCCCCACAGGUCAAGAAUAGGUACCGCAGGAUGAGGCGUAUGGAGGAUGCUGUGAUGAGUUCGUGAGAGGUCUAGGCCGUCGUCUCCCAGUAAACUUUGGGUUGUUGGAUCGUUGUCUCCUUAUGAUGUAAUUAUUUAUUUAUUUUGUACAGAACUCCUAUUAUAUAGUAAAUAUGUGACAUUUGUUUCUGUAC
rnacentral:lncRNA from 1 species